rnacentral:rRNA from 1 species
UACAGAGGUCCCAAGCGUUGUUCGGAUUUACUGGGCGUAAAGGGUGCGUAGGCGGCCUGCUAAGUCGGACGUGAAAUCCCUCGGCUCAACCGGGGAACUGCGUCCGAUACUGGUGGGCUCGAAUCCGGGAGAGGGAUGUGGAAUUCCAGGUGUAGCGGUGAAAUGCGUAGAUAUCUGGAGGAACACCGGUGGCGAAGGCGGCAUCCUGGACCGGUAUUGACGCUGAGGCGCGAAAGCCAGGGGAGCAAACGGG